UUUCUGAUACUCUUUUGAACAUUCACUGUCUAUUUAAUCCUUUUAGGAUUCAUAAACCAUGAAUAUGGAAUUGGGCUAGCUUUAGACAUACAUGACCCUUAGGCUGACAAUUAUCUGUUCUGGGUCCUUUUAACGGCAGUGCGGUUUCUCUAGUCAGACAAAAUACUAGUGAUACUUGUGAAGUCCGACGAUGUUUAUCUUCCACUUGAUAUGCUAUUACYAUAGUUGCUAAAUUUGAAUUAUAGUGACUGAAUGCAAUCGAUGGCAUAAGCAAGAGGCCACUUUUAGGGGCAGAUAAGUUUUGUUGAACAACUUUACCACUAAGUGGUUCCUCUGUGUUUGGGUUGUUCCAAUUUUUAUGACAGUUAGCUCAUUAGUUUGGUUAGUUGGGCAAGCUGAACUAUUGGGUGAAGACUGAAACUUUUCAUGUCCAAUCCACUGUUGAUGAUAGAAAUGGUAGACUGAAUAGGUUGCUAGCUUGGUUUAGAUGCGAACUAAUCCAACGUCAUGCAUACAUCUUGUGCUGAGAGCUAAUGUUUCUUUGCUUAUUUUCGUUAUGGAAUGAAUCAUAAUUGGAUACCAUAUCAUGCACCUGAUCAUUUAUUAUGUUCUACUCUCUGAAUUUGUUCAUUUUGUAACCUGAGUUUAUGGGCAUGUAUAAAGUGUGCAAUGUCAAUUGGAUACAUAUGCGAUUGRCGCCUAGAGAGCAUGCUGUACUAAUAACACAGGAAGUUUACAUCAAUGUUUUGGGUUCAAGUCUCCAAGUGGAAAACUUAAUACAUGAGAAUCCUUGAUGUCCCCUGGAACUGGGUUUGGGGGUGCGAAGUCUGCUGAUCGAUCUGUAGGGUGGAKUCUGAUACUGUCAAUAUACCCAAUAAGGAGGAAAAAAAAAUCAUAUUUCGUAUUAUCUGAUGAUGGUUCAAUGGAUAUGAUGGAGUGGCAGCUGUAGUGAGCUCAGGGAACGAUGUUUAGGUUGAAAGGUUUCUCUUUUCCUCAACAAGACUGCAGUUCUAAGACGAUUAUCUUGUUUGAGAGUUGUUUAGUUUACACAAGAGAAACGGCUGGAGCAUGGAGCAAGUCAUUUGUUUGCCAACAUGAUAAUUCUUCUUUUACUGGCUGAAGUUCUGGUGUGUUUUGUUGGCUAUUGGGAAUGAUGCACAAAAAAUUGGAAUUUCCUGAUGGAUUACUGGUUGAUAUCAAGGAGUUUGAACAGUAAAAUUGAGGUUGUACAAAGUUGAUUAUUGUUUUUAGUUUGAAAUUCAUGUGCAAAGAGUACUUCAAGUUUGACUCUGCACUUGGAAGAUCUCAAAAGACAAGAUAUAAGACCUUCUGAAGCAAAAAAAGUAACUAGUUUUUGAAAAGUUGUGAUCAAAGAGAAGUUCUYCAUUGAACUGGGGAAAAUUACAAUCAUGUUCUUUUGUUAUAUUUUCAGCACAACAUAAAUGUAUAAACACUUCAAGGUUGAGCAAAUUUCUGGAAUUCGAGAAGAAUCCUGUAGGUUGCUAUAAUAGAACUAAACUAGAUAGAGAUCAAA